rnacentral:rRNA from 1 species
GAUCAUGCUCAGAACGAACGCUGGCGGCAGGCUUAACACAUGCAAGUUGAGCGGGAUUCAUUUAUAGCUUGCUAUGGAUGAUGAGAGCAGCGCACUGGUGAGUAACACGUGGGAACAUGCCUUUUGGUGGGGGACAACAGUUGGAAACGACUGCUAAUACCGCAUACGCCCUGAGGGGGAAAGAUUAAUUGCCGAAAGAUUGGCCCGCGGAAGAUUAGGUAGUAGGUGGGGUAACGGCCUACCUAGCCGACGAUCUAUAGCUGGUCUGAGAGGACGAUCAGCCACAUUGGAACUGAGACACGGUCCAGACUCCUACGGGAGGCAGCAGUGAGGAAUAUUGGGCAAUGGAGGGAACUCUGACCCAGCCAUGCCGCGUGAGUGAAGAAGGUUUUCGGAUUGUAAAGCUCUUUCAGAUGGGAAGAUGAUGACGGUACCAUCAGAAGAAGCACCGGCUAACUUCGUGCCAGCAGCAGC